UCUGCACUUCCUUUCCUGAGGCAUUUACCCCUUUUUUUCUGACAGAGGCUUAGAUAUAGUUUCUCUGAACCCUUUAAUCUGACACAUUACCAACCUAAUGGAAUCCAUACAAACGGGGCUGAAAUUUCCAUAAAGGGAACAUUCCAGGUAUUGGAGCCAAGGUCAGAAAAAAAGAUCACCUACUUUAUUUUCAGAAGGUGACAUUUUCUGGUGCAGUGGCUGGAGCCAGGAGUUCUGGAUUUGAGUCCUAGCUCUGAGCACUAUGGAAGCCUAGUAGGUGGCAGAGCCAGACAUUGGCACCAGUUCCUUGACCUGAAGUCCAGGAUUCUUCCAUGCCAUACUAACUGGAUGAGUGAUAUCUGAAGAAGUGUAAUCCUUGGCAAUUUUCUGCAUCAGCCCAACAAAGAGAAAAGGGGGUCAUGAUGAAGAUUUUGGAAUACCAUCAUUAAGAAGAUUGGCUUAUGCCUGUCCUAUUUUAUCAGAAGACAUGGAGUGGAAAUUUGGAUAACUCAGAACUGGGUUGAGAUGUAAAAUGCUUGGUCGUCAAUCUCUGAUGAGAUUUAAGCAUUAGAAUGAUGUUUAACCAUUAGAUUUCUGAGAGAUAAUAAUAAUAGUUGUAAGUUGUUAUUAAAUCCUCUUUGAAAUUAUCCUAUUAAUGUGUGCCAAAAUUUUUUGUGUCCAUUAGUCAGUCAAUCAAUGUUAACCUCUUAUUUAUAUGUCAGGCAUUGUGCUAAGCCAUGGCGAUACAGAAAAAGACAAAAAACCAUACCUGCUUGCACAGCUCACAGUCUAAUCACAUUGACAUUCAGCAUUUCUUUUACGUGUAGGGUAUAAAUACUGGUCCCAUACUUAAUUUAUAGUAUACAUUGAGUUCCCUAAUCUCGCUUUAGGGAGACCUGGAUAUGAGCCUAAGUCUAAAUUUUAAAUUAAAAAAUAUCAGAAAGGGAAACCUGACUCUCUUUUCAAUAGAAUGAAUGCUGAACCUGAUUGGAUCUUAUGCUUUAAUCCAGAGCAAAGGAGUUCAUUAGAGAAAGGGAGUGGGUACAAAGCCUUAUUCUCUUGCAUCCAGCAGAGUUUCUUAUAUUUUACUCUCUUUUACUUUAUUUCUUUCAUUCUACUUUAAAGGAAACAUAUAUUUAGUGAGCACUUGUUAUAGAAAGAUACUAAAAUGAAUUAGAAAAGCCCUCAGA